rnacentral:rRNA from 1 species
GACGAACGCUGGCGGCGUGCUUAACACAUGCAAGUCGAACGGAAAGGCCCUGCUUUUGUGGGGUGCUCGAGUGGCGAACGGGUGAGUAACACGUGAGUAACCUGCCCUUGACUUUGGGAUAACUUCAGGAAACUGGGGCUAAUACCGGAUAGGAGCUCCUGCUGCAUGGUGGGGGUUGGAAAGUUUCGGCGGUUGGGGAUGGACUCGCGGCUUAUCAGCUUGUUGGUUGGGUAGUGGCUUACCAAGGCUUUGACGGGUAGCCGGCCUGAGAGGGUGACCGGCCACAUUGGGACUGAGAUACGGCCCAGACUCCUACGGGAGGCAGCAGUGGGGAAUAGUGCAAAAUGGGCGGAAGCCUGAUGCAGCAACGCCGCGUGCGGGAUGACGGCCUUCGGGUUGUAAACCGCUUUCGCCUGUGACGAAGCGUGAGUGACGGUAAUGGGUAAAGAAGCACCGGCUAACUACGUG